UACGAAGGGGGCUAGCGUUGCUCGGAAUCACUGGGCGUAAAGCGCACGUAGGCGGAUCUUUAAGUCAGGGGUGAAAUCCCAAGGCUCAACCUUGGAACUGCCUUUGAUACUGGGGAUCUCGAGUCCGGAAGAGGUUGGUGGAACUGCGAGUGUAGAGGUGAAAUUCGUAGAUAUUCGCAAGAACACCAGUGGCGAAGGCGGCCAACUGGUCCGGAACUGACGCUGAGGCGCGACAGCGUGGGGAGCAAACAGG
rnacentral:rRNA from 1 species